CGUAGGGUGCGAGCGUUGUCCGGAAUUAUUGGGCGUAAAGGGCUCGUAGGCGGUCUGUUACGUCGGGAGUGAAAACUCGGGGCUCAACCCCGAGCCUGCUUCCGAUACGGGCAGACUAGAGGUAUGCAGGGGAGAACGGAAUUCCUGGUGUAGCGGUGAAAUGCGCAGAUAUCAGGAGGAACACCGGUGGCGAAGGCGGUUCUCUGGGCAUUACCUGACGCUGAGGAGCGAAAGUGUGGGGAGCGAACAGGAUUAGAUACCCUGGUAGUCCACACCGUAAACGUUGGGCGCUAGGUGUGGGACUCAUUCCACGAGUUCCGUGCCGCAGCUAACGCAUUAAGCGCCCCGCCUGGGGAGUACGGCCGCAAGGCUA
rnacentral:rRNA from 1 species